GUAGUUUGAUCAUGGCUCAGAGUGAACGCUGGCGGUAGGCCUAACACAUGCAAGUCGAACGGCAGCACAGUAAGAGCUUGCUCUUACGGGUGGCGAGUGGCGGGCGGGUGAGGAAUACAUCGGAAUCUACUUUUUCGUGGGGAUAACGUAGGGGAAACUUACGCUAAUACCGCAUACGACCUACGGGUGAAAGCAGGGGAUCUUCGGACCUUGCGCGAUUGAAUGAGCCGAUGUCGGAUUAGCUAGUUGGC
rnacentral:rRNA from 1 species